ACGCUAUCUUAUCAGUUGCUUGUGUACACAGUUGUGAUAAAAUUAGUACUAUCCGCUUUUCUCUUGGGCUUAAGCAACAAUAUCCAUCUUAAACGUAAUAUGUACAGGUAUAAUGAACUAGAUUAUUUCAUGUUUAACAAAACAUUAUACCAAAAUGACCUUUAAAGCAGCAAAGUUUUAUGUACAGACAUUGCUUCGAUAAGAAACAAAAGCAUCCCUAGCUGUGCUGUCACCUGCAUUCUAUAUUGAGGCAGAGUUUUGCAAUGAGACGCACCUUAAGUUUAAACUAAAAUUUUCAUCCAAAAUGUCAGAUCAAGAUCUGAAUUCCGAGAGAACACAAUUUGUGACAAGAAAUUAGAAGAAGUGCAAUCAUCACUGUUUUAGAUCAAAUAUAUAUUGAGGUGACUAUAUGUAGCAAUGCCUCAACUUAAACAACUGUAAAUGUAUAAUUUUCACUAUUGUAGUAGUUAGAAUUGGUAUUGUGCAAUGAGAAUAUCAUUCAAUAAAUAAAUAAAAUAAUGAAACCUAAA
rnacentral:lncRNA from 1 species